ensembl:snoRNA
AUUGAGUCAGUUACCGUCACUGUGUCAGUCAGUGGAGGUAACAAAGAUGUGCUGAAAGAGCUCUGGUACAUCUAAGCUUAUUGCCAGCUGUUGUAGCUGUGCAAUGUGACCAAUGUACCUACAUUU